UAUCUCACCGCUGCGUCGGUGCAGGUUGCCCUCUGUGCUGUAAGGGAGCCGACCGGAUGUGCGAUCCUUGGGGACGCUUUUGUCUUUCAUUCACCGCCUGCUGACCUCCACUGUUUCCAACGGGAAGUCAGCCGUCAGUCUUCAGGCUGUCCGUGUGCCAUCGCUAAGCUCUCUUGGGACCAGACAUGGCCCGGUCCUGUACCAGCAUCUUGCCCCAGUUGUGGACAGAAAUGUUAGUCCCUGAAAAUACCCAGCUGCUGAGUAAACACUGAGAGUGUCUGCACGGGGACUCGACAACUUCCCAUCUGCUGACAGCCUUUGAACACCUGCCCACUCGGGGCUCACGUGGACGCUUCAGCAUUAGGCAAGCCUCAGUUUCCCCACACCGUGGGGGAAGGAUGCUGUCUUCUUCCUCUCGUAUUCAGAGCGCCCUCUGAACCCAGGGCGGGCAGAAAACCCUCUCCGGCUUGUCCCAGGCGAACUGCUGUUCUUCUACUUCCGUCCCCAGCUUCUGGAGUGACGGUCCUACGCGCGGCUGCCUUCUGAGCUCCCCGGGCUCACGCGCCCCCUCCACCCGUGCCCGCACACCGAGGCUCACUCCCUCCCCCCCGGGUCUGGGAGCAGAAGGUGACCGGGUUUUGUCUGAUAAGCGGAUUCCUCUGUUCCCGUAAGCUGGGUGGGUGCCUCGGGGCAGGGAUCGUGACCCCAUCCGGUCUGAAAGCCGCGCAGAGCCCUCGAUGGGUGUCGGCCGCUGCUGUCCUGGUCCGACCCCAGGCUUGUGAACCAACGUCACAGCACAGCCUACUGCCAGAGCUGUUCCCUUGACCGGACAUUCGUGCAGACGGUGGUUACGGGCCCCGCCACGACAGUGCCAGAACAGACCCCCGAAGCACCUGCUCCCCAACCCCAGCCCCCAUGCAUUUGGCAUCCGAGGAAGAAUCACUGCGGAACACGCAGAAAUCUCUCUCUGCUCAGUGUGGCACUCAA